AGGAGAAAGUAAACCACCGAGACAAAUCUAUUACGGCUCCCCUCUCUCUUUCUCAAGCUCACCGCCUCGUCUCCUCCGUUAAGGAAGACAAGUACAGCUAAGGCUCUAUAAGGUGGCGAGCUAGAACUAAAGAGAAGGGAAAGAGAAACUAGGGACCGACGGCGCCAGCCAACAAGAACAGAGAGCGGGAGGGGCCAUACUAAAACGAACACAACACCGACACAUCGAAGUUUUAGAUCCUACUCAAAGAACAAACCUAGGCACCGUCCACGUACAACGCCGGUACAACAUCAGGCGGUAAAACGAGGGGAAGAUGAACGGACUCUACCCACUAAACAAGACAUUCAGUAGCCCACAAGAUCCAGUAGACCAGCAACACCAGCAAAAGUGGGGACGACUAAACAAAGGAGACGACAUCUACAUCUCCAUCCGCUUCAACAUCAACAUCACCACCUAAGGGGACAGGUAAAAUAAAGACGUCCGGACCCACAGAUAAGGCGGACGUAAAAAUAGCCAUCUACAUCAACAUAUACCGAACCGGACCCUAAGACGACCGAAUACGUUACACCUACAUCAUCGAUUAAACACAUAGGAAGGAGACUUAAACAAACGGGAAGGAUCAAACUAAAACCGGGCCGGGAAACACUACAUCUACAUCCACGAUAAACAAAUUCAAAGGACGAGAUAAUACCAAAGACUUAACAACCGAGGAAUACACAGAAUGGACGUGUACAAACGAGAACAUCAAAGACUUAGGGAGUACUUAAAAAGAACAAUCUACAUCCACAAGUCAAAGGGACCAAGGACUUAGAGUUACUUAAUCACACAUGAUCCGGACGUCACGACUACAUCACAAUCAGGUACCUAAAAAGAAUAAAAACAGUCACGUUAUAUGGAGUCUUAAUGUCACAUUACAUAGGGUAUUAACCUCACACUAGGGGUACGAAGAAAUAAGAUUAAUGUCACAUUACAUGGGAUUUUAAUAUCACAUAAGAUCGGGUCUACCGUGACAUAUACGGAUGUUAACGUAAAAGCAAAUGAUUGGGGUCUAAAUGUCACAUUAUAUGGGGUCUAAAAGUGACAUAAAACAUACGAAGUCCUGACAUUAAUAACGUACCAAGGGUCAAAAUGUGACAUUAAACGUACCAUGUCGUGACAUUAACAACAUCCCGAAAGUCAAAAACAGUCUAUCUAAUGAAAGUUUACAAAGUAGUGACAUUAUAUGGGAUCUAAAAGAGACAUUAAAUAUACGAAGUCUUGACAUUAACAAUAUACGAAGUCUAUCUAAUGUAACCGAAGAAGCAGACCCGAAUGUGACAUCAUACGGUAUCAAAAUGUGAUAUUAAACAUACCAAGCUGUAACAUAAACAACAUCCAUAAACGCUCCAUCUAAUGUCACCUAAAAUGGAAACUUAACCUCCCGAAUGUGACAUUAAAUGACGUCUAAAUGUGACAUUAAACUUACGAAGUUGUAACAUUAACAACAUGCCGAAUGUUGCAUAAACAGUGUCAACUAAAUGGAGACUAAAACGACACAUUAAUCGUACGAAAAUCCUGACGUUAAGUACAUAAAAGAACGAAAAAAUAAAAGAAGAAAAGAACACGAUCACACAGAGGCAACGUCAUCAUAACUCGUCUCCAGGACAAAAUCCAACUACUAACAAAAACACAAGAAAGAUCUAAACAGAUCAUUUAUCACAAUGUAAUCGACAAGUACACAUAAGAAAUUACUUCACAUACCUCUAAAACAAGAUGAUAAAAUGAAGAAAAGAAAAAGGAGGAAGUACAUAAGACAAAUAUACAAAAUGAAAUUACUCAUCCGAUGUCUUUCAGAGAGUAGACCUGCAAACCAAUCAUAGUAGAGAACUGUUACGUCUAAGACACCCACUUGGAUAACACGGAUUGCUGAAACGCCUUCUACCAAGAAUAGGAUACAGAUGCCAUCAAUAAAGAAAGAAGAAUAGAUCGAAAUAAAAUAACAAGAAUCAAUAACUCCAACAAAAUAAAUUAAAAUCAGACAACUCAAAAAUUAUAUAAAAACGUCCUUGAUAGACCACUACUUCCUCCCAAACUGUUUAGAGAAAACUUCAAGAUAAACUUAGUUCACACAAAAGGAAAAGAACAUGAUAAAACUAAAACAAAACACAUAAAAGAAACCCACCGGGAACACAAAAACAGUAAAGUCUUGCAUUUUACGAACUUUCCUUUAAUAGUAGACGAAGGUACAAGUAUCCGGGUAGAGGACUCACAUGGACGUUCGUUUUCCCGUUAAACAAAAGAUAUCAACACGAAAAGAGUCUAACCAUCGAGACACCAUAAACUUAAAACGAAAAUGACUUAUAUUAUAGCCUUACAUCUUCACGCCACUAUCUUUUACACAGGACGCUGUAUAAACAACACUCGAAAAUAAUAAUAAAUACAUAAAUCUUACAAGGAUAUCACAGAAAGUUGUAUAAGACUUUGUUUACACAUUGAGUGUAAAUCUUACUCAAGAAGGACUCUGUUAGAGUUAUCUAGUAGAAGUCAACGACAGAAAUAGUACGAGGAGUAGACCGUAUAAACUUGUUUUUUACGGUCAUAGUUGUAUUAUAACUCGUUGUUUGGCAAAUCUAUAUCUACUUAAAACGACCCAUGAAUUUGUCAACAUGAAAUACAUAAAAACGAAGGUUAUCAACCCCAUAAGGUUCACAUAGGAGCCUUGAUUGUGACAUUUAAUAUCACUUCAUCGAGACUUCAAAAUAACAUUAAAUAACCCCAAAAUGGCGUAUCGAAGUAGUGACGUUUAGGGACGUAUUAAAGUAAGAUUAAGGGACACAUAAAAAAGACAUAAGAAGCUCCCAUAACGUGACAUUCGUGAAAGUAGCAUUUCGAACCCAUAAUGUCACAUUCGGUACCCAUGAACGACACAUUAAUGUAACAUACAUAUUACAUAAAAUAUCUCCAAAAUGUUACAUUAAGAACCAGUGAACGUGACAUUAAUGUUCGAAACCUAAGAACCCAAAGUGUGACAUUAAGGACGAGUAAAUGUGACAUUAAAUCACAUCAGAGUAGUCAAAAAUGUUCACAUUAAGGAACACACGAACGUCACAUUAAUGACACAUACAUGAUACAUUAAAUAUCCCCCUAAAUGUGACAUUUAGAACCAGUGAAAGUCACAUUGAGAACCCAUAAAAGUCACAGUAGGCAAAAAUGAACGUAACAGUAAUCAAAGACGAUGACUUACAAAGACCUUUAAUGGGAUCUAAAAUGUAACCUUGAUGGAGUUAUAAAAUCUCAUUAAAGGACGAUGUACAUCGUACGCUUCCAAUACAUUAAAGGAUCUAAAUGUCGACUACAACUAUACAGAACAUAAAUGUGACAAAAAUGUACGAAUGUACAUUUGGUGCAGUCUUAAAAUCACAUUAAAGGUACAAGUACAGUAAAAUUAACGA
rnacentral:rRNA from 1 species